CACCAGACUCCUACGGGAGGCAGCAGUGGGGAAUAUUGCGCAAUGGGCGAAAGCCUGACGCAGCGACGCCGCGUGAGGGAUGAAGGUCUUCGGAUCGUAAACCUCUGUCAGCAGGGAGGAACGGUCACUGUGCUAAUCAGCAGUGAAUUGACGGUACCUGCAAAGGAAGCACCGGCUAACUACGUGCCAGCAGCCGCGGUAAUACGUAGGGAGCAAGCGUUAUCCGGAUUUACUGGGUGUAAAGGGCGUGUAGGCGGGCCUGCAAGUCAGAAGUGAAAUCUGGGGGCUUAACCCCCAAACUGCUUUUGAAACUGUGGGUCUUGAGUGAUGGAGAGGCAGGCGGAAUUCCCAGUGUAGCGGUGAAAUGCGUAGAUAUUGGGAGGAACACCAGUGGCGAAGGCGGCCUGCUGGACAUUAACUGACGCUGAGGCGCGAAAGCGUGGGGAGCAAACAGGAUUAGAUACCCGUGUA
rnacentral:rRNA from 1 species